rnacentral:rRNA from 1 species
AGUGAACGCUGGCGGCAGGCCUAACACAUGCAAGUCGAACGGCAGCACAAGAGAGCUUGCUCUCUGGGUGGCGAGUGGCGGACGGGUGAGGUAUGCAUCGGAAUCUGCCCAUUUGUGGGGGAUAACCUCGGGAAACCGGGACUAAUACCGCAUACGACCUACGGGUGAAAGCAGGGGAUCUUCGGACCUUGCGCAGAUGGAUGAGCCGAUGCCGGAUUAGCUAGUUGGAGGGGUAAAGGCCCACCAAGGCGACGAUCCGUAGCUGGUCUGAGAGGAUGAUCAGCCACACUGGGACUGAGACACGGCCCAGACUCCUACGGGAGGCAGCAGUGGGGAAUAUUGGACAAUGGGCGCAAGCCUGAUCCAGCCAUGCCGCGUGUGUGAAGAAGGCCUUCGGGUUGUAAAGCACUUUUGUUGGGAAAGAAAAGCAGCCGGUUAAUACCCGGUUGUCAUGACGGUACCCAAAGAAUAAGCACCGGCUAACUUCGUG